CCUACGGGGGGCAGCAGUGGGGAAUCUUGCGCAAUGGGCGAAAGCCUGACGCAGCAACGCCGCGUGCGGGAUGAAGGCCUUCGGGUUGUAAACCGCUUUCAGCAGGGAAGAAAUUGACGGUACCUGCAGAAGAAGCCCCGGCCAACUACGUGCCAGCAGCCGCGGUAACACGUAGGGGGCGAGCGUUGUCCGGAUUUAUUGGGCGUAAAGAGCUCGUAGGCGGUUCGGUAAGUCGGGUGUGAAACCUCCAGGCUCAACCUGGAGACGCCACCUGAUACUG
rnacentral:rRNA from 1 species